rnacentral:rRNA from 1 species
CCCUUAGAUGUUCUGGGCUGCACGCGCGCUACACUGAUGCGUUCAACAAGUGUUAACCUUGCCCGAUAGGGUUGGGUAAUCUUUUGAAAGCGCAUCGUGAUGGGGAUCGAUGACUGCAAUUGUUCAUCUUCAACGAGGAAUUCCUAGUAAGCGCAAGUCAUCAGCUUGCACUGAUUACGUCCCUGCCCUUUGUACACACCACCCGUCGCUCCUACCGAUUGAGUGAUCCGGUGAAUAGUUCGGAUCGUGCAGGUUGCCUUCGGGUGCUUGUAUGAGAAGUUCAGUAAACCUUAUCACUUAGAGGAAGGAGAAGUCGUAACA